UUCGGUGCCCAUAGCGAGAGGGAAACACCUGUUCCCAUGCCGAACACAGCAGUUAAGCCUCUCAGCGGUUACAAUACUUGGGCCUGAGCCCUGGGAAAAUAGCACGGUGCCGUAU
rnacentral:rRNA from 1 species